UGUUCGAGAGGUAGUGCAUGGCCGCCGUCAGUUCGUACCCGCAAGGCGUUCUGUUNAAGUCAGAUAACGAACGAGACCCUCAUCUCUAUUUGCUAACCAGAUCUCCGGAUUUGGUGCACUAUAGGGAGACCGCUGGCGCUAAGUCAGAGGAAGGGGAGGGCAACGGUAGGUCAGUAUGCUCCGAAUGCUAUGGGCUACACGCGCAAUACAAAGGACAGGACAAUGGGCUGCUGCUCCGAAAGGAAUGAUAGCUAUCCCGAAACCUGUUCGUAGUUCGGAUUGAGGGCUGUAACUCGCCCUCAUGAAGCUGGAUUAGGUAGUAAUCGCGUCUCAAAAAGGCGCGGUGAAUAUGCCCCUGCUCCUUGCACACACCGCCCGUCAAA
rnacentral:rRNA from 1 species